rnacentral:rRNA from 1 species
AACGAACGCUGGCGGCGCGUUUUAAGCAUGCAAGUCGAACGGCAGCGUGGAGCAAUCCACGUGAGAGUGGCGAACGGGUGAGUAACACGUAGGUGAUCUACCUUGGUCUUGGGGAUAGUCCGUGGAAACACGGGGUAAUACCGAAUACGCUCGAGGGGCUGUAGCCCUUUGAGGAAAGGCGCGGAUGCGCCGAACCAAGAUGAGCCUGCGGCCCAUUAGCUAGUUGGCGGGGUAAGAGCCCACCAAGGCGACGAUGGGUAGCCGGCCUGAGAGGGUGAACGGCCACACUGGGACUGAGAUACGGCCCAGACUCCUACGGGAGGCAG